rnacentral:rRNA from 1 species
ACGGUUACCUUGUUACGACUUAGCCCCAGUCAUCGGUUUUGCCCUAGGGCGCUGCUCGCGCUCACGCACUUCAGGCACUCCCGACUCCCAUGGCUUGACGGGCGGUGUGUACAAGGCCCGGGAACGUAUUCACCGCGCCGUGGCUGAUGCGCGAUUACUAGCGAAUCCAGCUUCAUGGAGUCGGGUUGCAGACUCCAAUCCGAACUGAGACAGGCUUUCGGGUUCCGCUCCCUGUCGCCAGGUGGCUUCCCGCUGUACCUGCCAUUGUAACACGUGUGUCGCCCCGGACGUAAGGGCCGUGCUGAUUUGACGUCAUCCCCGCCUUCCUCGCAGCUUGCGCCGGCAGUCCCGCCAGAGUCCCCAGCUUUGCCUGUUGGCAACUGGCGGUAGGGGUUGCGCUCGUUAUGGCACUUAAGCCGACACCUCACGGCACGAGCUGACGACAACCAUGCAGCACCUCGUCGCAGGUCCGUAGACGGGCAUCCUUUCAGACACCCUUCCUGCAACGUUUGAGCCCGGGUAAGGUUCCUCGCGUAUCAUCGAAUUAAACCACAUGUUCCUCCGCUUGUGCGGGCCCCCGUCAAUUCCUUUGAGUUUCACCGUUGCCGGCGUACUCCCC